UACGUAGGGUCCGAGCGUUUGUCCGGAAUUAUUGGGCGUAAAGAGCUCGUAGGCGGCUUGUCGCGUCGACUGUGAAACCCGCGGCUCAACUGCGGCCUGCAGUCGAUACGGCAGGCUAGAGUUCGGUAGGGGAGACUGGAAUUCCUGGUGUAGCGGUGAAAUGCGCAGAUAUCAGGAGGAACACCGGUGGCGAAGGCGGGUCUCUGGGCCGAUACUGACGCUGAGGAGCGAAAGCGUGGGGAGCGAACAGG
rnacentral:rRNA from 1 species